rnacentral:lncRNA from 1 species
ACUCUGGGUACUCCUUUCGAGCAUCCACCAUGGUUGCCAAAUAGGCCUUACACCCUCCUUUGAUCAUUCUCUUCGCCCUCACAGACGAUAUAGUCGCCGCGAAGCGCCUACUUUUGCACGCUUGGUAGACUAACUCUUCUUGAUUAGGCUCACGAAAAGUGAUCACCUUGCUUUCACAAUCUAUCACCGCAUAGUACUUGGAGAGCCAGUUGGUUCCCAAGAUAACAUCGAAUCCCCACAUCUGAUCUAGCACUAGCAGAUCAAUCGGCAUAAUCCAAUCGCCUAUUUGCACUGGACACGCCAAACACUCGUUGUGAACACUGAAUGAAUGUUCUGGGGCAUUUACCCACCA